GACGAACGCUGGCGGCGUGCUUAACACAUGCAAGUCGAACGGAAAGGCCCUGCUUUUGUGGGGUGCUCGAGUGGCGAACGGGUGAGUAACACGUGAGUAACCUGCCCUUGACUUUGGGAUAACUUCAGGAAACUGGGGCUAAUACCGGAUAGGAGCUCCUGAUGCGCGGUGGGGGUUGGAAAGUUUCGGCGGUUGGGGAUGGACUCGCGGCUUAUGAGCUUGUUGGUGGGGUAGGGGCUUACCAAGGCUUUGACGGGUAGCCGGCCUGAGAGGGUGACCGGCCACAUUGGGACUGAGAGACGGCGCAGACUCCUACGGGAGGCAGCAGUGGGGAAUAUUGCACAAUGGGCGGAAGCCUGAUGCAGCAACGCCGCGUGCGGGAUGACGGCCUUCGGGUUGUAAACCGCUUUCGCCGGUGACGAAGCGUGAGUGACGGUAAUGGGUAAAGAAGCACCGGCUAACUACGUG
rnacentral:rRNA from 1 species